CUUGGCACUGGGGAAUCCUUUGUG
rnacentral:miRNA from 16 species